CCCAGCGGCCACCAGAGAGGAGCUGGAAUCCCGGGAGUCCCGGGAAGGCCCCUUGAAGGUGCUUGCGCUCCCGGCGCCAGGGGCCCCGCGUACUCACGCUGUCUCCAGCGACAAGAUGAUGAGACGCGCUCGCGCCCCCACCCGGCAUGCAAACAUUGUCUCCGACGACAAGAAGGUGAGCCGUGAUCGCGCCCCCACCCUGCAUGCAAACCGUGUCUCCGAUGACAAGAUGGUGAGCCGCACUCGCUUCCCCCUCUCCUACUAGUGAUUUGGAGUUAACCGGUGCCUAAUGAUUUGAAGUUACUGACAAUCUUUAAUCCAGUCAUGUGAAUUGUACUAGUGCUUACUGAAUUACAUGAUGUGUAUGUGCAUGAACUACGUGGUGUGUACAUGUCCUUGGAUUUUCUAAGCAUUGCGGUCUCAUCUGGCAGAUGGACAAGAACGAGAUGGUGCCGGUCCAGGGGGUGUCGCGCAUGCGGGGGAGCAUCGCGUCGUCAAGUGUGGUUGGUAAGUAUACUUUAUGCUGCUUUUUAUUGUCAACAUCGUCUCCAUGCAGGCUACACUGGCAAACAAGCUGCUUAACUCUUGUGCAUGCUGGUUUUUUGUCAUCACUAGUAUACUGGUACUGGACUGGAGCUUGUUAGCUCUGUCCAUGCUGGGCCUUUUUGUCAUCAUUAGUAUUGUUAUAUAUUAGCUGAAGCUGCACAUGUUUUCUUUCCAUUGACGUUGGUGCGGGCGGUGCUACGCGUCAGUCGGCUGAUGGAUGGACGCCUUACUCACCUGAUUUUAAUCAAGUCCCACCUAGGUGUAGUUUGUUUUGUCACUAGCUGUGUAUACAUAGGCGAGCUCCAGCACUGCGUUGCAGCGUGGAAAACAUAUGAACUGUAAUAAGAAACAUGCAGUGGCUAGAAACAUCUCCACAUAUUUUUUCCAACACGUUUUAGGUGUCAACGAAAUUAGUCGGAUCGCCAGCCAUCGAAUUGACACAUGGAGCAUUGGAUCACAAUACACGGCAGCAGAGAGAAUGGAAACCGUGUUUGUCCAUUGCCUCCACAAUACAUAUGUAUCCACCACCCCUCCUACAUCGUCGCAACAGACAAUUACGUCGGCCCCUUCCGACACCUCGCUUUGGUACCCUAGAGACCCUGAUGUCGCUUGGAUAUCCUGCAAGUAUUAUUACAGUGCGCCAACAAGGCGUCGUCCUUGCAACAUUGUCUUACAGACAAUGUAGUUGAUGCCACCACCACCAUCACCCAUUUACACAUGGGCCGUCGCAUGUGGCACUGUUCGUGGGAUAAAACACACCCCGCGAGAAUACGUGGUUGCACCACUGCGAUCUAUGCACCUUAGGAAUUGUUUUGACUGCCCCUGCAAAACUAGCGAUGAUACGGCCAUCGCCCUGCAACAUUGGCCAUAGUUGUAGCACAUCUGAGAAGACGGAUGCCGCACCUAACAACACAGUAUGUGUUUUUUGCACCAUAAGAAAGCACUGCCUUGCAACGUCGGCUAUCAGGGUGCUGCACUGACAAACACACUCACGACCUUGAGACGUCGUAUGCCUUGGCCGAUGUAGCAUAGUGCUCCUCUUUCAGCACAUAGCGAUGGCUUGUAGCAUUGAUGGUCGGAGAGUCGCUGCAUCGUUGAGUGGCAGUGCUAGCCAAACUCAUUGUCAUAGAGAAGGGGGAAUAAAGGAUGGGUGUGCACGUGGUGGAAAUAAAGCGAAUGGAUAUGGUGAAGAGAGAGGAUGACUAACAAGGGGCAUCUGGCGCUAGAGCGAGCUGACUGAUUUCCCCCUAAAACCAGCCUGUUGAAUAUAAUUCAAUUUUCUUUUGAGAGACCUCAUAAAAACGUCGCAACAUGCGAGCAUGUCUAUACAAAAAAUUGUAGAUAUACAACACAUACUCAUUAGCUGCAACAAAUCAGUGAAAAACACAAUGUAUAUAGGCCUGAACCGAUGGAUCAUCAGCAUGCAUCUGCCAGCUCUUCCUAGGUUACGCCCAACCGUGAGUCGUUCAAUUGGGUCACACAUCACUACCCAAUCAACCACCAACUUAGUUGUUCCUCUCGUCUCCUCUACCCACCCUUGGCAACAUACACCCAUGAUUCUCAGCAAUAGACCAACAUGGAGGCGACAAUGGUGGCCAUGAUAGGCUAGUGAAAAGCACACUGGUUGGUCAACCUUACAACACUAAACAGAAACAUUGCAACAUGAGGUAACCCCAACUUUGUAGCACUGGUGCACCAUUUUCAACCACCUUGUAGCAAUGAAAAGUUCACUGACCAAUAGCAUUACUGCACCAAGUUACCGGCUUCCAGCACUGAACACCCGGGCUUGUAGCACCGCGAUGAUCGAUGGUCGGCCUUUCAACAGUAUUAGUUAACAUUGCACACCUCGUCUCCAUUUUUAUGUACAUACGCAUGAGUGACCUUGGAACAUCAGUAACGUGUCAACAUUAUCAAACUUGAAGACGAUAAAUUUGUUUCUCCAAGCAUCGACAUUACUGAAUAAGCGUGCAACUGCACAUCCACCACAUGAGCCAUAAUUUUUUAGCCCUGCGACAACAGCUUAUAGUUGCAAAAGAGCUGACGAUGAUGGUUUAGAAUGUAUAUGAUCAAAACAGAUUAAAUGGAGGGGAGGGUGGACUACCUAUGUUGAAUCAGACUAGCCGCAAGGUCACAAGUGCCUUGUCUAAAUAGCCAAAAAGACAAAAGGAGGCCUCCUGGAUUCUCCAUCCCGAAGCUAAGCAUAACUCCAACUCCAGACACGCUAGGGGGCUACUAAAGGUGCAAUACGGUAGGGGUGUCUUCUGGGUGGGAAGCCUGGUAGCAGGCCUACCUUAGGGCCCAAGAGGCCAAGUGGAGGAUCGGUGCAGUAGGGCAGCUCAGGAGCCCAGAUAAGGACUGUGAGAGCAUCUUGGCAUGCAAGCUAAGAUGGCAGUGGUAUGAGAUCUGAUGGAUUCCUUGUAAACCUAGCCCUUGCCACCUAUAUAAGGAGGGGCUCGGGGUUGUCAUUCACAUAUACUCUCAUAGACUAUACUCUUUGUAGCAUUAUACUUCAUCUCCACUCUAAACCCCUCGCACAAGGUGCUCCGCCAUGAAUAAAAAUCAGAUACAGGAAGUUGGGCAUUACCUCUCACCGAGGGCCCGAACCAAGGUAAAAACCUUUGUGUGAACUCCCUUGUCAUGGAUCCCUACAAGUUCACCACCCUACUAUGGGUACUCACAUUUUUACAUACUGUCACAUAGUUAAGUUCUGACACAUUUUCUCUGGGGAGUUGAAACAACUCAUGGUGUAAGUAGGUGUUGCUUGAAGCACUGAUUCUACUAGCACCUCCUUUCCAGCCUUCGAGAUACCUUGUCCUUCCUAUCCAACCACUUUGCCAUUUGAGCUUUCUUUAAGAUGUUUAAAAUUUCCCUCCUUUGACCUACCCACCACGGUUGGAAGCCCCAAAUAAUGCUCGCUCAAUGCCUUAGGAUCUGUGCAAAGAUAUUUACAACAACUUAGUCCUCCUAUUUGCCUCACUUCCCAAAGAAUGUUGAGGCUUUUUGAAAAUUUACCAUUUGUCCCGAGGCCCACUCGUAGUCAAUGAGGAUAUAUUUAAGGUUACAAAGUUGCCAUUUGACGGUUGAAGAAAUACUAUACUAUCAUCUGCAGAAAUAAGAUGGGCUACAUGGGGGUUAGUGCUCCCAAAAGAUAUACCAUUGAUCUCUUUAUCUUUGAGCACUCAUGAGAAAGGCCAAAAAACUCGCAACAUAGAAAAAAAAUAGGGAGACCUCUUCAUAGUAUAAAAAAAAUAGGGAGCCCUCUUCAUAGUAUAAAAAAAAUACAAAACACACUCCUUUCAAUUUGAUCGAAAACCUGGCCGGGGUACCACACAUCAUAAUCAUCAAGAUCAACCUAUCUGAGAAACCAAGUGCCCUCAUCAUCAGAUCGAGGAAAAUCUAAACCAACCUCUUAUAGGCCUUCAUCCUGUAUAGUUUAAUUGCCAACAUUGGAUUUUUUCUAUUUCUUGAAUGUACUUUGCUCCUUCGUGAUCAUAAUGGAUAGGACAACCUUCAAUCUCUUUGCUAGGCCUUUGAAGCAAUCUGACUAAGCGUGUUCAAUAAGUUGAUUGAUCCCAUUUGAGGAAGUAUCUCCAUUUAGGUAAUUUUGGGGAUUAGGACUAGAACCAUAUCACUAAAGUUUGGUGAAAUAACUCCAUUAAAAGAAUCAUCUAUUACUAUGCGUACAUCAUUUUUUAGAAAUAACUAGUGAAAUUGGUAAACAUGAGUGAGAGGUUGUCUAGCCCCUGCGCUCCAGUCAAAUUUAGAAUAGUGCAUUCUCAAUUUCUUCAUCCAUCACGUCUGUGUUCACCCUCUCCUCCAUAUCACUAGUCACACAGGGUCGGAAGUGAGCUAAGAUGUUGUCAGCAUCAGCAGAGGCUUCUGAAGAAAACAACUAAGCAUAGAAAUCGGCCGAAAUCUUCCACAUCUCAUUGUCAGUAGUACAACUCGUGCCAUCCGCCCUCAUGUUUUGAUCGUCUUUCUUGAGAAAUUCCACUCGAGAACAUUGCAUACACAUUAUUUGUUCCUGUGCACGAACCACAUGAAGCUAGGCUUCAAUCUCGCUGGUCUUCACCGAGGAUGUCUGGAUCCCAAUGAUCUACCCUUUCCAUCGAAGCUGGAACUUGUGCCUAGUUAUCUCACAACAUACAAGACAAAAUACAGAGCCACUUCAAUAUUUCAUAUCAUUGGUGACAUUGUUAUGCUUCAUGUAGAGCUCACUCUGGCCGGAAUUGUUAUCACAUGCACACCAUCAUGCCUCCAUGGGCAUCCACCUCUCCUCAAACGUUAAUGCCUUGUUCUUACUUUUGGUAAUGACUAGGUUUUCUAGCGCUCUAUUAACGAGCAAACCAUGGUCUCGUCCUCCAUGACAACAUGUUCAAUGGUUGUAUCCUACAAUGAAUGCACGACUUCAUCAUUGCAUGGACCCCUGUCCACAUGUACAUAAAGCAUCUCAUCUCGCUCCCUCUUAUUGUCCCAAGUGUACAGGUUGCUACUAAAACAAAGUUUUGAAACGCUAUUAUUGGCUACACUCUCCCUAAUGCGUUCCAUUUGUGUGAAACUCCUCAAGUAAUCUCCUAGUUGUUGUGAUUAAAAGAAUUCUUUGUUGAGCUAUCAUUGUAAUAGAUAAAUGUAUUAUUAGGAUCCAGUUUCUCGGAGCCUCCCUUAGCUACACAAAUUUUCUUCAAUCUCUCUUCCUAUCAAGUAGCUUUAGGUUAUAAUCAUUGUGAUGCCUUUGGUAGUCACCAUCACCUUGCCUCGUAUUAUGAACAAAAGUGCCUCAUCUGCGUUGCUCUGAGGUAGAUGGUCAUCUUUCCCAAUGGCCUUGCACCCUUUCCCAUAUAUAUUUUUUAUGUCUUGCUUCCUUUCAUGCUCCUUUCUCAUGUCCCACUUCCUUUUUAGAUUUAAAUCAUCCCUUAGUUCACAAUCAUGUCACAGAUCUUGCCUGCAUUGGUCCUCCCUGCACUUCAUCUUAGACAGUGACCCUCUACAAGACCAUCUCGAGGAUCCUCGUAGAGAGAGAGAGAGUCCACAGAGGGUGUAUAAUCAUUGUAUGACCUGCACGUAAAUGGACGCACAUGCAACGCUACAUGACCCAUCGCCCAUAGACGCCCUUGCUUGACCUAGUGCUCCCAAAACUAAAGUUCCUCCUUUCUUUCACCAGCCUCUACUUUGUUUUUGUCUGUGAGGAGCCACGUCCAAGUUAUGCCCUCAACCAUUCACCCAACUGGGGUGAGGAAUCAUUUUGUGGUUCAAAUCAUCCGUCAACAUGUGCUAGUCUGUCGUAGUCAAUCCAAAAGAGAGGUAUCUUCUCAAAUUGAAAAUCAAACAAGGUCCCCUCAUCUUUUGCUGAAGAGUGGAGAAAGAAGCCUUAGACUAGUGAAAGAAAUAUGAAAAUUCUAGCUCUUGAUCUGAGAUGGUUCCCCCAUAAAUCCAUCCUUCUUAACAUCACUCUUUACCACGCCACGAAGACAAUUCCCAAGAGCAUUCCCAAAAGUAUAUGAUCAUUUAUAUAGGGGAGGAUCUGUAAUUAUCACCCAUGGCUCCGUCAUACAAAACAUUAUCUUUGAUGACCUAGUUUUUUCAUCAUAAUCCUUCAAAAGUAUCACAUUAAAACCAAAUUGCCACAUUCAAUUAUAUAGAGCGUGCUUUUAGACUCCUUUGUUAUGGAAUCUAAAGAAGAAGAUAUUAUUUCUAAUGUGACUUAUUUGGGCUUCCUAGUAUAGUCCCAUGUAUGUUGCAUAGCCCUAGCAAACACGUUGAUGUUGAUUUGCUGGAGUGAGCAUGCCUUUCCAACCACUGACCACCAAGUAGGCCUCGGUCGGUCUGGAAUCCUGAUCCUCAAACAUGAGAUCUAUUAGUUCCUUUUGUUGUCAAGUUCAGGGCUCCUUGUUAAUUUGGUUGAGAGUUUAGCUGCCUCCCCUGAAGCAUUUCCAUCUGUCAGGGACUUUUGAAGGUUCUCAUCUUAACGAUCCUUGGUCGCCAUGUUCACUUGAGCUGUCGAUUUACGCCACGCCUUCUCUCCCAUCACCGCGAAAAGGAGUGGAAGCACCAAGACCAGUGAAUGUAGGAGUUUACAGUGUCAUCACCUCAUAGAUGAAUAAAAACCUAACCCUAGCACUACUUGUCGGUCGCCUAUAAUCACCCUUAGCAUUUCUUUUCAUGUUGGGCCUGCCACUAGGUAUUUAUACGUGUGCUUCCAUUGGUACUUUUUUUUCGCUGGAGCAUUUCUGCUACAUUUGCCUUUCUACAAAGGCGGUCUCAUCCAAAUCAUAUAGUCUCCUCUAUCUAUAGGAAGCGAGGACAUUAGCUCUUCUUUUUUUCAAGGCAAAUACACUUGCUACUGUUCAAGCGACAUCUAAAGAAGUCUUGUCACAUGUGAAGACGACGCUAAGAGUGUGACACAUAUAGGUGCCAACUUGAAGAAUAAUGCAAAUUUCAGUAAAUAUGAAUAGCUCCAGGGGAACGAGCGCACAAAGGAAUCAGCCACCAUAAAUGGAUCAUUUCCAAAGAAACAAAGUCACAAAGAGAGAGACAAGACAUUAGCUUCUUUAUGGGGAACACAUACAUUUAAAUGUUGCCUUGCUCUCUGAUUAUUAACAAGAAAUAAUUUUUACUAAUAUAUUAUGUGUAAAUCUUGAUAGAUAUGGAAUGUAUUUUGGUCAGUAUGUUUUAAGGAAUCAUAUUAGUUUUUGGUAUGUUGAAAUUAGAAGAAGUUCAUGUGCCUUCAAGGCAUGUCAAGGUGUGUUGUUCCACCUCAAAAUUGGUACAUACUAAAUGGUUAUUCUCCCUACAUAUAGUCCCAAUUCUCAUGCUCUCUCUCUCUAUCUAUCUAUCUAUCUAUCUAUCUAUCUAUCUCUCUACAUUUUAUAUUCCAGACUACUCCAUAAAGCCUAACUGGUGAAGGUCCAGAAACACCCAGCAGUGAUGGGUUCAACUCCCAUUAGUAGUCUAUACUUAGUGGAGGAGAAAAAAGCCAAGCCCGGCAAUGGUGAAUAAAUCAGAAAAGAAAAUAAGGCCAUGCCCAGUCCAAAUCCGGCACCUGCCAACAAUGUGUAGUCUCCACUACUCGAACCUACUUUUCCUCAGUGUGUUACAUCAUGUGAUGUUUGGAGAAGCCAUAGAGUUGGGGAUCCGAAUAUAGAAAACAACAAUGGGGAGUGGCUUGAAGAAUAGGAGCCAAGAAGCCGGACGGACAAGGCCUCCGCCAUGCUGUACCAUUGGCCGAUACUGACCCGUAUGGUGCAAGGACCGAGGCAGAACUGAACACCGUCAUCAUCUAGGUUGCAAAGGAAGUUGGACCACUGUGUUUCUUCUCUCGGACAAACUCAAUGAUUUCAUGCAGUUGGCACCCACGCCACAUUCCACAGAGAUAACAACAUUGAGGAGGAGGAGGAGGAGGGGCAACGCAAGGUUUCUUCCUCAUAGGAAUUACUUUCGAGGAAGUGGGGGACGGUAUGGCAUGAUGAGCAGUUAACAAGGGAAGUUUGCAUGACUGUGGAGGACAAAUCAUGAAGACAAGUGUGCUAGUAGCUAUAUAAGGGAUGAAUGAUAGCAGGAAGGAAUAAUGAGCUUACUGGGUGAGGCUACUAUUUUUUAAGUUGCGACCUACUGAUCAUAACAACAAUUGAUCGUAACAACGUACCAUUGAUGAUAUAGGGUAUUGAUUUAGUAACUGUCACGAUGUGACUAGGGCUUGUAAGCGGUGGGUUGUAUAUUACUAACAAGUAGCAUGUUUAGCCUCAAUAUUGUCCUCUGUCACUCGUAACAUCGUACCAUUGACGGACCCCGUCACUACUACCUUUUUCCAACAAAAAUAGAAUUUUAGUUAUAGUAAGAUUCACAACAAUCCCGCCGGCCAUUAGUGCUAAGUUGCACUGCUGACCGGUUUUUUGACCCACCACUUUUGAUCGAUAACUAGGCGAGACCUCUAGUCUGGUGCACAUUUCUUUUGUUCAGAAUUUUUAGUGUUUUUAUGUGUACAAAGACAUAUAUUUCAACCCUAACAGGUUCUCUUUAGGUGGGGUCGAGAGUGAAGGACUGGGGAGCUUGGAAGCAGGGGAAAUGGCACCUCAAGGGGUUCAGGUCUCUAUGAUCAAUAACCACAAUUUUGAUCUGAAUGAGCUGCCGACUGAGCAUGAGUAGCUCAAGAAGGAGUAGUCACCUCUGGAGCAAGAGUAUCCGCCUAUGGCACAACAUGAGAUUUAAUAUUCACAAUGGUUGGAGGCUACUCAAAUCCCUCUUGUGUGAGCAAAGUUAACUCUUGGCCCAAAGUGUAGCCCUGUCAGAAAUUAUCGAAACAAUAUCCUUAUCCCAAGGACGAUUGUAAAGCUUAUGUGGAACUUUUGAAUUUCUCACUUCCUAUUUUUUGUUGAUUGACUGACGCUAUUGCUAAACUUGAGGGAAGGACCUUGUAUACUGCUUCAUGAUCAACGUGUCAACUGGAAAUGGCUUUUCUAU
rnacentral:lncRNA from 1 species